CAGCAGUGGGGAAUAUUGCACAAUGGGCGCAAGCCUGAUGCAGCCAUGCCGCGUGUAUGAAGAAGGCCUUCGGGUUGUAAAGUACUUUCAGCAGUGAGGAAGGUGGGUAUGUUAAUAGCAUAUUCAUUUGACGUUAGCUGCAGAAGAAGCACCGGCUAACUCCGUGCCAGCAGCCGCGGUAAUACGGAGGUGCGAGCGUUAAUCGGAAUUACUGGGCGUAAAGCGCAUGCAGGUGGUUUGUUAAGUCAGAUGUGAAAGCCCGGGGCUCAACCUCGGAAUUGCAUUUGAAACUGGCAAACUAGAGUACUGUAGAGGGGGUAGAAUUUCAGGUGUAGCGGUGAAAUGCGUAGAGAUCUGAAGGAAUACCGGUGGCGAAGGCGGCCCCCCUGGACAGAUACUGACACUCAGAUGCGAAAGCGUGGGGAGCAAACAGGAUUAGAUACCCUGGUAG
rnacentral:rRNA from 1 species